rnacentral:lncRNA from 1 species
UGCAGAACAAGCCACACCCCAGCCCCAGGCAGCUUUUCCCGGCCUAGGAGCACAGCCUGAGAGUCAGUUUCUCCAGGAUCAGAAACGUCCUGCUCCUUCACCAGACCCGAAGGCAGAGGAGAGGUUCCUGAGAUGGAGGCUGCGGUCGCCGCUCUGCCUAGGAUGCCUCAACUCUUCUCGGAAGAACACUCUGUCAAACCCUUAUUCACCCUGCGAAGCCCAACGUGACUAUCACUUCCUCUGCAGACCUCUCAGGCAAGCGCUGGAAGGAGCCAGGCACUGGCACUCGUGCCCAGGACCCCCACCCAGGGAACACCCCUCCAGUGGAGCGCGGAGGCAAAAUGUGCAGCGCGGAGCCCACGUGCACCCGACGCUUGGCAGGCGCCGAGGAAUCAGGGAGGCCACGAGUGACAUCAUCCGCUGCUGUUUACAGCUGAGCAAACACGCCGGGCUCAGCGAGGUGGCACGGUUGCCCAAGGUCACACAGCCCGGAGGAGCAGGGGGCCCACACCGGGGCGAUGCGACCUAGGGGCUAACCGGUGGAGGCUCCGACCGCCUGCCUGCCCCGCCCCGCGCACCCCGCCCACCCCCGUGGGCCUCGGGCGCCCGAAGCCACGUGAAGGCAGCCGAGGCUGCAGGAGCAGCGCAGGGCUCGUCACGGAAGGGGUUAACGCUCCCGCCGCAUUGGGCCGGCCUCCGUGGGAAGCAGCCAAUGGGCGCGUGGGGCGAAGAGGGUCUCGCACUGGAGCCUGGGUUGGCCUUGAACUUGUGGCGAUCCUCCUGCCUCAGCCCCCCCAAGUGCAGGAUGACUGGCAUGUGCCACCUCGCCUGGCUUCAAGCUCAGCUGUUAAAUGGGAAGAACAGAAGCUGCCCCUGGGCUGCGACAUCAGGCCGACCAGGUGCUUUUGGGGAGAGUGCCAUCUGGGGCACCCCAGGGAACAGCGGGUGCCACAAGGCACCUGCCCAGGGCUCCAUUUAGUGUUUUGGAGACGGAUUCCAGGUGUCCCGUUUGGGUGGGGGUGGGGAUGGAGCGCCUCGGGUAUAACACGCACAGGAGGGACCCUCCUGGUGACAGAAGUGGUCUGGACUUUGGCUGGGGUGAGGGUUGCCCUGGCCAGGAUCCCCUACAGGAAGCCACAUCCAGGCAGAAGUAAAGCAGAGGAGUCAGAGAGGUGGGGGUGGGUCAGUGCCACAUCCUGGAGUUGAGGGUGGCACUGCACUGCCAUGCACUGCAUCAUUUCUGACAGCCACAUGUGCAUCUACAGUGGUCUCCGGAAAACUUUCAGGCCAGGUGUGCUGAUGCACACUUGUAAUCCAAGCACUCAGGAGGCUGAGGCAGGAGGAUCAUUGUGAGUUCCAGCUGGAGCUACAUAGCAAGACCCUGUCUACAAAAAUAACAAAAAUAUGUACAAACAUAAGGUAUGACAUAAACUCCACAUAGCUCUUUUUUUUUUUUUCUGGAACCAGGGCUCGAACUCAGGUCCUUGUGGUUGCAAGGCAGGCGGCGGAACCACUGAACUAAAUCCCUGGCCCCACAUAGCUCUUACACAACCAUAAACCAAGGCAAAUUGAUCAGUCAAAUGCAAAAUCAAGCUGGGGAUGUAGCUCAGUGGUGCCGUGCCUGCCUGGCAAGCACACAGUUCUGAGUUCGAUCCCUAGUACCGAAAAAAAAAGCGAACUCAAUUCAAAUCAGAGUAAUCACAUGUGACAUGUUACUUCUUUUGUUUGAAACCCUGUCACUGCCCACAGUGUAGAUAUGGCCCAGCUGCCAGGGUGCUCUGAGUUGGUGAGAGAGUGGCUGGCCUUACACACACACACACGUGCACACGCAUACACACACACAGAGCAGGUGAUUUUUCCUCAGAAUACAUAAAGAAUUCCUACCAAUUAAUAAGAAAAAGGCAGACUUCUCGAGAAAAAUAGGGGGGAAACUUGAAUUAGUAAGUCUGGUGAUGCACCCCUGUCAUCCCAGCACUCAGGAGGCUGAGGCAGGAGGAUUGUAGUGAGUUUGAGGCCAGCCUGGGCUACAAAGUGAGACCCUGUCUCAAAACCAAACAGUUCUCCACAAGCAGGAUAUCCACAUGGUGCACCCCUGUGACCCCAGCACUCAGGAGGCUGAGGCAGGAGGAUCACAAGUGCAAGUUCAGCCUGGUAACUUAGUGACUUGGUGAGACUCUGUCUCAAAAUAAAAAAAAGGAAUGGGGAUGGGCCUCAGGGUGGGGGCCCACAGAAACCAAACAAGAAACCAGAAGUGAGCGGGGACAGUCACAUUGGCACUAUUCAGGGGAGUCCUACAUGAGAAGGAAUCAAUCCCAGUCCCUCUCCAUGGGACAGGCGAUAAACAAAGGUGGCUGGUCAGCUUUGAGAACAAAUCUCACAGUCAUAAUCCAAAGGAUUUCAUUUACCCGAGGGACAAAAGGAGCCAAGACAGUCGGGGUGUGAGAGAUCAGGGAGGGGUCGCCUGCCACCAGGCAGGAGGGGUGGUGCUCCAGGGCCCAAACGCCUGAGGUCAGGAGUCCCUGGAAACAGCUCUGUCCACAAGGCUCUGGGCCCCACUUCGAGCAGAUGUGGAGUGUGCCCUGGGGGCCCAGGUGUGGGGUGAGGGGAGCAGAAGGGAGGGCCAGGUCCCCGGUGCUCUUUCCCUGCCCAGCACUUGUAAUGUGGGCCUGACCCAGGCUUUUUCUGCCGCAGCCCCUGGGCCCGGCCUCUUCCCACACCAGAGCCUGCUGCCCACACUCAGGGUUCUCAGGGGAGCUGGAGGAAAGGCCUCAUCCACAUCCUGAGGCCAGGGCGGUAGGUGCCCAGCGAGAGUGGCUCUGGGGAACACAGGGUGCCUGGUGCCUUAGGCACCUUCCCUCCCUGGACUCAGUACCUGACGCCACAGUGUAAAGGAGAGAUUUAUAGGGGCCGGGGAUUUAGCUCAGUGGUUUUGCUGCCUGCUGCGCAAGCGCAAGGACCGGAGUUCAGUCCCCCGUACCAAAAAAAAAAAAAAAAAAAAAAAAAAGAAGAGGUUUAUUUUCGCUUGAGGUUUAUUUUCGCUUAUAGUUUCAGUCUGUGGGUGGCCAGUUCCAAGGCAGAGCAGCAGGGCAGAAGGGCCUGGUGGAGGACACAUGCUCACUUCCUGGCGGCCAGGAAGCAGGGAGAGAAGGGAGGAGCAGGGAGAACAGCCUCUUCCAGGCCACUCCCCCAGUGGCCACCUCCGCGGAGGCCCCACCUCCUUCACAGUAUACUCGGCUAUGACCUCAGGCAUGCAGGAAUCCAUCGAUGAGUCCAGCUCCAUUGAUCCCAUCCGCUUGCACCUUACACACACAGGAGAAUUCUGGGGGACACUUCAGAUCCAAAUGUAACACCCAAUUGGCCCCUGCUGCUGACCCCAGACAACCUCAGGAAAGUUCAGCUCAAGCCACGGUUUGGAGACCUGACUGUAGGUGUUGGACCCCCUACCCCUGCUGUGGGACAUGCGAAGGUGGGUGGGUCACUUCCUGCUCCUAAAAAGUGGCCACAACCCCAGGCAGCUGGCAGGGACCAACAUGUCACUGGCAUCCGGCACAGGCCGACUGGAUGGAUGCUGAGUUCUGGAGGGGAUGCUGUGUGGGCGGCCAGCUCAGUUACAAGCUUUAGAGAAAACAGGACUCAUACUAGAAAUAAGCUCAAAUACCUGGGUGUGGAAGGACAUGCCUAUAAUCCUAGCACUCAGGAGGCUGAGGCAGGAGAGUCGGUGUGAGUUCAAGACCAGCCAGGCUCCACAGCGAGGCCUUGUCUCAGAAAAAGAAAACGCUAAGAAAAAUAAAACUGGCAUUUGUAUGUAUUCGCAUUUUACUAUUCCUUGUAUGUUUUGUCUAUAAACCUGAAAUUUUUCCUUUAACCUAAUGACCUUUAUUUAGUAUUUAUGCUUCAGUUCUGUUAACAAAUUAUCUAUUUCAUUUGUCCAAAAAAGUAAUUUCUAUUUUGAAAGAUAUUUUCACAGAUACCAUUCUAAGAUGACAAUUUUUUCUUUUAUUACUUAUUAGAUGCAGUUCCAUUGUCUUCUGACUUGC